rnacentral:rRNA from 1 species
ACGCUGGCGGCGUGCCUAAUACAUGCAAGUAGAACGCUGAAGAGAGGAGCUUGCUCUUCUUGGAUGAGUUGCGAACGGGUGAGUAACGCGUAGGUAACCUGCCUUGUAGCGGGGGAUAACUAUUGGAAACGAUAGCUAAUACCGCAUAACAAUGGAUGACACAUGUCAUUUAUUUGAAAGGGGCAAUUGCUCCACUACAAGAUGGACCUGCGUUGUAUUAGCUAGUAGGUGAGGUAAUGGCUCACCUAGGCGACGAUACAUAGCCGACCUGAGAGGGUGAUCGGCCACACUGGGACUGAGACACGGCCCAGACUCCUACGGGAGGCAGCAGUAGGGAAUCUUCGGCAAUGGGGGCAACCCUGACCGAGCAACGCCGCGUGAGUGAAGAAGGUUUUCGGAUCGUAAAGCUCUGUUGUAAGUCAAGAACGGGUGUGAGAGUGGAAAGUUCACACUGUGACGGUAGCUUACCAGAAAGGGACGGCUAACUACGUGCCAGCAGCCGCGGUAAUACGUAGGUCCCGAGCGUUGUCCGGAUUUAUUGGGCGUAAAGCGAGCGCAGGCGGUUUGAUAAGUCUGAAGUUAAAGGCUGUGGCUCAACCAUAGUUCGCUUUGGAAACUGUCAAACUUGAGUGCAGAAGGGGAGAGUGGAAUUCCAUGUGUAGCGGUGAAAUGCGUAGAUAUAUGGAGGAACACCGGUGGCGAAAGCGGCUCUCUGGUCUGUAACUGACGCUGAGGCUCGAAAGCGUGGGGAGCGAACAGGAUUAGAUACCCUGGUAGUCCACGCCGUAAACGAUGAGUGCUAGGUGUUGGAUCCUUUCCGGGAUUCAGUGCCGCAGCUAACGCAUUAAGCACUCCGCCUGGGGAGUACGACCGCAAGGUUGAAACUCAAAGGAAUUGACGGGGGCCCGCACAAGCGGUGGAGCAUGUGGUUUAAUUCGAAGCAACGCGAAGAACCUUACCAGGUCUUGACAUCCCGAUGCUAUUUCUAGAGAUAGAAAGUUACUUCGGUACAUCGGUGACAGGUGGUGCAUGGUUGUCGUCAGCUCGUGUCGUGAGAUGUUGGGUUAAGUCCCGCAACGAGCGCAACCCUUAUUGUUAGUUGCCAUCAUUCAGUUGGGCACUCUAGCGAGACUGCCGGUAAUAAACCGGAGGAAGGUGGGGAUGACGUCAAAUCAUCAUGCCCCUUAUGACCUGGGCUACACACGUGCUACAAUGGUUGGUACAACGAGUUGCGAGUCGGUGACGGCGAGCUAAUCUCUUAAAGCCAAUCUCAGUUCGGAUUGUAGGCUGCAACUCGCCUACAUGAAGUCGGAAUCGCUAGUAAUCGCGGAUCAGCACGCCGCGGUGAAUACGUUCCCGGGCCUUGUACACACCGCCCGUCACACCACGAGAGUUUGUAACACCCGAAGUCGGUGAGGUAACCUUUUGGAGCCAGCCGCCUAAGGUGGGACAGAUGAUUGGGGUGAAG